UCCGUCCCAGCCCAAUAGGCUCAGUUUCCUUUUCGGGACGUCCCAGCCCAAUAGGCUCAGUCUUAAAAUAGAAAUAAUUAGGGGUUGUUUAUAUUAUAAUAAGGGCCUAAUUUCAGAUUAGAUGGGCGGCUAAUUAAAUCUUUCUUCCGAUUUUUUUUUACAUUUCACUUUUGAAAAUGGCAUCUCUCCUCUCUCUCUCCUGCGAAAUCCCUAAAUCCUCUCUUCUCUCUCUAGCGGCGCGAACUGAUUCUUCAACCUCCGCCUUUCUCACCUUCGCCGAUUCCUUCAGAGUCCGGCCGAUCCUUGGUCGAUUUUGUCGACCAAGAGUCUCUGAGUGGCGAAUACGCUUUCGACUCCCAAUUUUCUGAUGGGGAUUCGUCUACUCUAGAUCUCAGUUUCUCCGUUCCAUGUCUAUUUCGGGAGGUUCGAAGGAAGGCGGUUCGAGAGGCUCGAAGGAAGGUGGUUUGAAAGGGAUUAAGAACUCCUAUAUCCGAUCUGCCGGAGACCUUUGUCCCUGAGAAACGAGAAACGAGAAAUGGCUUGAAGGCAAAACAUUGGAGAGAUGAGAGAGAGGGUGAGAGAUGUCAGUGAUGGUGCUUGGAGGGGCUGUCACGUCGGAGCUCAGAAAGAGCGGCGAUGGCUGCCGCGGAUGGAGCUUGUGAGGAAGAAGAAGAAUGGUGCGCCGAUGGAGCUCUGCUUUAUCAAUCCCAUCUCUCUCUCUCUCUAAACACACAGACAUAAAUUAAAAGUUUCGAUCUUUAGCUCAGUUUCUCACUUUCUUGAUUGCUUCCGCUUGUUCUCUCACUUUUUUUUAUUUUCGAAAUGAUAUUUGGCCACUGAUGUUCGCUGA